GUAUUUGUAAAGGGCAGCGAUGCUGUACAUCAAGAGAAUUAACAAGCUUGCAUGUCAAGCUGCUUUUCUUAGAGAGCGAAAAAUCCUUUCUUAUCUCUAUAGGUCAAAAACUCCAUAAUAAAUUAACAAUGCAAAUAUAUUUUCAUUUAUAUCCUUACAACAUUAAAAUAUGCCAUGGCAUUUUGAGCCUUUCUGAAGAUUUUGUUCUAGAAAUAAAUUACAUUCAAGACUUAAAACAAUAAUUGGCAUUUGCGCAGUGAGUAUCCAAAGCAAUUCAUAUUCAUUACCUCAGUAAUCUUUAUGAUAAUCCUAUAUAGUAGCUCAAUAUUAGAUUUCUCAUAUUGCAGAUGGGAAUGAGGGGGCUGAAGGUUGUUUUUAUGUUUUAAAAAUGGUUUAUAUACCUUGCUUUCCCACUAAGGAGUUCAAGAUACAUACAUACAUCAUUAGAUAAAAUGUGCCACCUUCCCAUAAUUCAAACCAUGCUCAAGGCAGCUUGCAACAUGCAAAAAAACACAUAACUGCAACAUAACAAACAUAGUAAUAGUUCGGGAGCUACAAAAGCAUUCUUCCGCCCGAACAUUACAGGCAUCAGCACACUUAGGGAUCCACAGAAUGUUCGCAGUUUGCGUAACAGAACCAAUAGCACAGCAUUUUUGCUAAUCUACUUUAUUUACAUAUAAUACACUCAGAGCAUUCUGACUUAACUCCUGCCUCUUUCUCAUCAGACAGCAAAAAGAGAAAAGAACAAAGGACAAUAGUCCCACUUCAUGGAACACAGUAACACAAACAUCCUGUCUCCGUCACUUCUUACACUGUGGAAUGAAAACAUACACCGUCAUGUGAUAGACAACAAUCCCAUGACUGCAGACACGGGGAAUGAAUCUCCAACAUAUGGUUCCCUCUGCUCUCUCCAUUUUAUCCUCACAACAACCCUGUGAGGUAGGCUAGGUUGAGAGGGAGUGACUGGCUUCUUGUCACCCACUGAGUUCAAGGCUGAGUAUGGAUGUAACUUGCUCUCUGCAGUCCUGGUCUGACAUUCUAAGCACAUUACAGUGGUGCCUCGCAAGACGAAAUUAAUCCGUUCCGCGAGUCUCUUCGUCUAGCGGUUUUUUCGUCUUGCGAAGCAACCCUAUUAGCGGCUUAGCGGAUUAGUGCUAUUAGCGGUUUAGCGGCUAUUAAAGGCUUAGCGGCUUAGCGGCUAAAAGGCUAUUAGCGGCUUAGCGGCUUAGAAAAAGGGGGGGAAGCGAAAAAAAUCUCAAGACUCGCAAGACAUUUUCGUCUUGCGAAGCAAGCCCAUAGGGAAAUUCAUCCUGCGAAGCGCAUCGAAAAACGGAAAACCCUUUCGUCUAGCGGGUUUUUCGUCUUGCGAGGCAUUCGUCUUGCGGGGCACCACUGUAUAUUGCUCUUUCCCCACCAGAGUCUAUCAGGUUCCUCCCCAAUUUCUCUCAAGUUCAGGUCCUACCCAGGUGUCAGAUUUUCUUCAAAAGGUAGUAACCUUAGCAGCAUAGCAAACAAGACUCAUAAUUGGUGAGUCCAAUAUGUGGGCUGGUUCCAUAAGAUCUAAUGUCAUGCUCCAGUCUAGUGUUUUUGUAAUACUAAAAUCAAUAUAUGCAGUUUUGUAUAUCCAAGAAAGUAUUCUGUUGCUAUGUGUGUGCAGGUAAGCAAAAGUAUUUCCACCUUAUGCUGAGUGACAAGGCCAGCAGCUUAUAUGCAUAAUUAAAUGAAAACCAAGCCAUAUAUCUAUUUAGCACUCACAAAUAUUUUGCACAUUUUUUUAUUUCUGUGUGUUAUCUCCUGUUUUUGGUCCACUAACCCUGAAGCAGCGGAUUUGCAGUUUGGGAGUGCUCUUGAAUUUAAACCUGCUGCUUAAUGCUCAGGUAGUUGUGGCUAGUUGUUUUGAAACAACUUGUGCCCUUUCCUGGAGAAACCAAGUCCAGCCAAAGUUAUUCAUGCUCUUGUCACUUCCAGGACAGAUUUUCAUCUUUUGCUGCCAUAAGACAUCUUGAGUGACCCUCAAAUAAAGCUUAGAUAAACGUUAAUAAAUAAAUAAUCAUGAAAUGGUGAUAAAAUCUCAUUCACAGCCGAAUAAGAUGGUGAGAGUUUCAUACAGGAACACCUUGCAGAUUGAGGGAGAAAUUCAACAUAGUGCUAUAGCAGUCGAUCUGUCAGUGCAAACUUUUCAGCUUGCCAGAUGGAAUGAUCCCCUCUCCUGCCUCCAAGCGCUGUCAUGGGGGUUCUUCCCAACCCUCCCAGAGCUCAUUUUUGAAGGUGCAAGGAGAGGAGCAGGUGGGGGAAGCCACAUUGUGCUGGCUGGCUUCUGCUAAUGGGACUCAUUUGUUGAAUCCAGUCAUACUGCCCAAUAGGGGGGCAUUUCCAGUCAUUAUCUGCCACUGAAAAAAUAUCAGCUGGUCAGCCUUGACCAUUAGCAAGCAAUCCUCUUAAGUGAAAGAUCAUCAUUGGAAGCCGACCAUUUGGAGGCAAACGACAAACUUCCUGUGAACAUCCAUUUAGUAGCAUGCUCACAGUGCAUUUAUAGAGGUAAGCAUUUGAGGUGGUUUAAAAAUAGGGGAAGCUGAGACAAAAGACCUUUAAUAAUUCUACAAUUGGAGGGUUAUCUGUUUCAGACAGUAUUGACACUACCAUGUCAGGGACAGUGCCUUUGCCAGUUUGCUAAACAGCUAAAAGCCUCACAGAGGUCAUUGGAGAAAGGAGGGGAGGAUAUGAAACAGGAGCUUGGCUUCGGAUGGUCUGUCUCAUUAAGCGACUGGCCCAGGAUCAAGAGGGCUUUGCUGUCACUGGCUGACCAGUCUCCCAUACAACUUGCUGAGACACUCUGCUGCAAUGUAUUCUAGCUGAACAGAUGUAAUAAUAUAAAUUGCCAUUCUGUUGACAGCUUGGCCUGGCAGGGUCAUUCAUAAGUCUCAGGCGGCAGUGUACGUUUUAAUGAAAAUUGUUUGUUGAAGGUUUUAUAUAUAUCUAUAUACAGUGGUACCUCGGGUUACAUACACUUCAGGUUACAUAUGCUUCAGGUUACAGACUCUGCUAACCCAGAAAUAGUACCUCGGGUUAAGAACUUUGCUUCAGGAUGAGAACAGAAAUCGUGCUCUGGCUGCGCGGCAGCAGCAGGAGGCCCCAUUAGCUAAAGUGGUGCUUCAGGUUAAGAACAGUUUCAGGUUAAGAACGGACCUCUGAAACGAAUUAAGUACUUAACCCGAGGUACCACUGUAUAUAUAUUUUAAAAAUCCCAGGAAAAUGGAGAGACAAUAUAUAAAGGGAUACUUUUUAUUCUCCAACUUCAGUUAGUGAAACGUGUGGAAGUUUUCAAGGUGGAAGAUUCUAUGAACAAUGCAAGCUCAUAGAACUGUAGAGUUGGAAGGGACCACAAGGAUCAUCUAGUCCAACCCCCUGCAAUGCAGGAAUAUUGUGCCCAAUGUGGGGCUCGAACCCAUGACCUUGAGAUUAACGGUAUCAUGCUCUACCGUCUGAGCUAUCCCAGGGUGUGGGUUCACAUAAGAACAGAAAAAAGAGUCCCACAGGAUCAGGACAAAGACCCAUCUAGUCCAGGAUUUUGUUUUCACGGUGAUCAGCCAUGUGUUCAUGGGAACCCCGCUAGUAGAAUCUGAGUGUAACGACAUUCUCCUGAACUGUAGUAAAUGGUAUUCAGAAGCAUACUGCUUUUGACAGUGGAGGUGGAUCACAUCAUGGUUAGAACCAUAUACAGUGGUACCUCGGGUUAAGAACUUAAUUCGUUCCGGAGGUCCGUUCUUAACCUGGUACUGUUCUUAACCUGAGGUACCACUUUCGCUAAUGGGACCUUCCGCUGCCACCGCACUGCCACCGCGCCACCACUGCGCGAUUUCUGUUCUCAUCCUGAAGCAAAGUUCUUAACCUGAGGUACUAUUUCUAGGUUAGCGGAGUCUGUAACCUGAAGCGUCUGUAACCUGAAGCGUCUGUAACCUGAGGUACCACUGUACACUUAUACAGUAUAGCUGUAUCCUUCAUGAAUUUAGCUAACCCCCUUUUAAAACCACCCAAUUUGGUGGCUGUCACUACCUCUUACAGUAGCAAUCCUCACAGUUUAACUGUGUGCUGGGUGAAGAAAUGCUUUCUUUUGUCUGUCCUGAAUCUUCUGCAGAAACCCACGCUUGCAAUCACAUCUAGAGCACGCUGUUUUACAAACUAAGAAAUAAACAUGGAACCAAGUAUACCAGGGGAAUACUGUAUAGGGAAAGAAACCAGUACUGGACAAGUUGAAUGAGGAGAUUCACUAGGACCUUCCAAAGAAAACAGAAGCCCCAGAGUAGAUUUAGGGGAUGCAUGUGGGGAAGGAGAGGGACGCGGGUGGUGCUGUGGGUUAAACCUAGCCUAGGACUUGCCGAUCAGAAGGUCGGCGGUUCAAAUCCCCGUGACGGGGUGAGCUCCUGUUGCUUGGUCCCUGCUCCUGCCAACCUAGCAGUUCGAAAGCAUGUCAAAGUGCAAGUAGAUAAAUACCUUCCGGCAGGAAGGUAAACGGCAUUUCCGUGUGCUGCUCUGGUUCGCCAGAAGUGGCUUAGUCAUGCUGGCCACAUGACCUGGAAGCUGUACGCCGGCUCCCUCGGCCAAUAAAGCGAGAUGAGUGCCGCAACCCCAGAGUCGGUCACGACUGGACCUAAUGGUCAGGGGCCCCUUUACCUUUACCUUUUACUGUGGGGAAGGAGAGGAAGGCGAGUCUCAUUGUGCAAGCAUAAAUCCUUAUACGAAUAGGAUGCUAGCUUGGUGCUGCAUUGGAUACAAGCCAGUGUGCCUAAAGUGAUGUGAUGUCUGUACCAAUUAUGGGAAAAGCUUCCAACUUACUUUGUUUUGUGUCUGGUAAGUGAAGGGCAGCAACCUUCUAUUUUUGGGCAAAAGAUUCCUGCAUUGCAGCGGGUUGGAGUAUAUGACCCCUGUGGUCCCUUCCAACUCUAUGAUUCUAUGAAUAUAUAUAUAGGGUAACAAUUAUGGCUUUAAGUGGAAGGACUGUAGCUCAUAUUCACAGCAUAUGCUUCACAUGUUGUUGCUAUUUAGUCGUUUAGUUGUGUCCGACUCUUCAUGACCCCAUGGACCAGAGCAUGCCAGGCACUCCUGUCUUCCACUGCCUCCCGCAGUUUGGUCAAACUCACGUUAGUAGCUUAGAGAACACUGUUCCAAAUUCAUACCUUGGUAUUUCCAGAUAUGGUAUCUCCUGUCGUAUGACCUGGAGACCAUGCCAACAUUAAUGAGCUAGAUGGCAGUUCACCGUUAUCUAUUUUUCUGACAAAAUAUGGCCCAUUAUUCUGAAAACAACACUAUUUCUUUGCCGGGGGGGGGGGGGGAAUCACUUCGGCUACAAAAUGAUUCUUAAGAAAAUAUGCUACAUUGAACUCUUCCAAAGAAACUGCCCAUUUUGGUUUGGGAGAUUCCAGAAGUUUAUAAAUAUUCUUAGAAACAUCAUAGCAAGAUAUUCUGAUAUAACUGGCAGGCCAAUUUAUGUUACCCUGAUGGAGAGUUGAUGGCAGAAGCAGAUCUUGUUAGGCAUACCCAUCUAAAGAAAUCUGAUUCUCUGAUUGGAACCAGUUUUCAAAGGAAUUAAACUUUGCAAUGAUUCAAUAGAUUUAUAUUUCCACAGUGGCUUGCAUGGAUUUUUUAAUACCAGAUUUUUUAAUACUGCGAUCAUUUCCGUGACACCUUAUCUCCUGCAGCCUACCCCAUUUACUUUCCUAAUUGUCACAGCUCAGAAACAAGCAACGCUGAUAGCUUCGAAACAAUGAAAAUAUCCCAUGGUUCUGGCAGCUGAUGGGAAGUUAAAAAAAUAAGUAAUCCCAAAGGAAGGGCAAGAUCUGCCAGUGGAGGAGAAGGAGGAACCGGAGGUGAGAAGAGCUUGAGCAAGGAUUUGGGGAAGGGAUCUGUUGCGGUACUGCCAGACCAUCCAGAAGGGGAAGGGAAGCGCCUGAGUCAGUCUCCGCUCUGACACACCCCCCCCCCCGUGAUAUUUCCAUGGUAACCAAAGAGGUGGCUGGCAAACCAGCAUGGCCGGUCUAAGUAGAGGGAGAGUUAGAGGGUUGGAUCAAGGUCCUGGCACCAAGGAUUGCACUGGUGUAAACAGACCCAGCCACCCCACCCCACCCCAAUAGAAGUUCACACUUGAAAGCACAGUCUUCUCACUUGGGAUGAGAAUCACAUGAAUGACUGGUCCCACCCAUCUCAGUUAAAAGUGGAGUGGGAGGGACAUGUCAGGUGUUGAGACAACAUCUAUAGCUACUUCUUAGUCAUAUGUCUUAGAGCUCUGCUGUAGACUUAUGAAUCAUGUAUCCUGUACUGUGGGGCUAAUGCUUAGACCACAUGCUGACUACUUGAAUAAAGCUUUCAGGUUUCCUUAAGCUGAUAGUCGGUACUGUAUUUGAGAGCUGCAGCCAGAACAAGCACACUUCAGUAGGUUAAUGUGCGUCACAGAAUCAAUUGUUGGCUAUCUGUGAUUUUUUUAAAAAUAUGCCUCACAUAAAUAGUUGAAGAUAAAUCUUCCCACUUGUCAGGCUGGCAACAUUUAAACAAGUAUUAUUUAUAAACUCCUCCAGACAGCGUCUGCAUGAAGUCCCCAUACCUCUCACCUUUGCAGUCAAGAUAGAACUAACAGUAUAACCAACCAACUCCCAACUGUUACCGGUAAUUUCCAACUGCCAGUUGUCAACUACCAACUGCCACCUCCUUUAUUCAGCGCCAUCUGUUCUUUGUGAAAUACAUUCCCAAUGAAAUUACAUUACAAAUACUAACAUCAGUCACCGUAAUCCAACAGCAGCUUGUGCCCCCAAAAUGCAGACACUUUCCCCACACUUUUCCUGAUCCCACCUUGAUAUUUAUCCAAUGAAAUCUGAACCUUCACUUCCAACAUACCAGCCACAAACUUUUGCUGUCAGUGAGAUUUGUGUUGAAUUAACUGGGCAGUCCAGUAUAAUGUUAUAGUUCCUUUGCACAAAUAAAUGCAUGGGGUUGUGGAAAGCAAAACAAUUUUUUAUUUUCAAGAUUAAUGUUAAAACCCAACUACAAAUGCACUAAUCCUUCUAUCUCCAAAGUUAAGCUUCUGGCAUGAGAUAGCACUUGUUAUUCUCCCUUAGACCCAAAACACAAUAUAUUGAUGUACUACAUCAACACUAUAGUGUUCCUUGGCUUUAGUGAAAUUCUUCAUGACAUCCUGUCAGAACUGACACAAGAGUGCCCAAGCCACAACCCACACCAGAUCAGAGAAACCACCAAAAUGUACCAAGCACUCUAAAUGACAAAAAAGCGAAGCAAGCAGCAGAUAGAAACUGAACAUAGCCUGAAAGAAACAAUCUAAACCGGAACUUGACUCAAAACUUAAAAUUAUACAAAAGAUGCACACUGAAUAUGUAACUACAAACUGGAAAACUGGGGGGCGGGGAAUACAAUACAAUACAACUCAAAUGUUUCUUGCAAACUGCCUCUGGUUAACUCAUUGCACUGGUCUCAGAAGUCAUGUCACAUUCUCACCCCACAAUUCAUUAACUUACCAAAUUCCUCCAGCCCACUUUUCAUUCUUACCUUCCUUCUGUUCCUCCCUUCUCCAUGGCGCUUCCCCCAUGUAGAUGUAACCCAGGAGUACCCAACAUGGUGCCCUCCAGAUGCUGCUGAACUACAACUUGCGCUGUCCCUGACCAUUGCCCAUGCCGGCUGGGGCUGGUGGGACUUUCAGUCCACCAGCAUAUAGAGGGCACUGCAUUGGCUACCCCUAGAUCCUUUAAUUCUAGUCGGGCAGAGUGAGGAGGCCUCUGGAGUUGCUCGUGCUUAGUGAAGUUUUUUUCUUGGGUUCUCGGUAAUUGCCUUUUCACUUCGUACUUGAUGCUGAUGGAUUUGCAGGGCUAGUUUGGAGAAAGUACAUGAGAGAUAUUUUUAUGCUCUGAACAGCUUGUCUUGGGAUAUAUAUAUAUAUAUAUUCAUUAUUGUAUUUUUGUGCUUGUUUUGAGUGGGCACGUGUUGUUUUUUAAUUGUUGCCUGACUUAUUUUUUUUCACCUUUUGUCAUCUUGGUCUAUUGCCUUAAGGAUACGUGUGAACUGUGUCUCUAUAGCAGAAAUGGAAAGAUAUGCACAGAGACUGAAAGCUGUCUAGCUUGCAAGAAAACAUUUAUUAUUGGUACUGAUGUCUAAAGAAGAGGAUGGAUAAACAUUUUAGAGAAUUCAAGGAGAACCAUAUUUUGUACAGGU